AGGGAACGCCCUUGAGUAACUCGCGCACUUGGGGCCCGUUUCCACCUAGGACUACAGGCUCAAGAUGGCCUGGUAGAUGCAGCCGGCACGCACCUCUCCUCUGACGGGAACCGAAGGAGCCGGUAGGUUUUCACACUUGCAGCAGAUCCGCUAAGAGAACGCGGGAUUCAGCCGAGAAGCCACGGGGAGCCCGAGGAGCGGAGCAGAGGCACCCAGGCAGCCUGCGCGGAGAAAUUGGAUCGGCGGGGACGGCCUGCAGCUCCCGCGCGCGGGGAAAGGGAAGAAGUCCUCCCCUACAAAGCAAAUUCACAAACUUGGAAGAAGCAAUUUACACAGGAUGUGCAGAUCUCAAUGGAAGGACACGGGAAACGUGAAAAAGCAAGGAAGUGGGACGCCUCCAAAGGAACCCAGUAAUUCUCCAGCAACAGAUCCCCAUCCAAAAGAAAUUCAAGAAAUGUCAUAUAGAGAAUUGUGGAAACUGAUUUUAACCAAGAUUAGAGGGAUUCAAGAGACUUCUGAAAAAGAAAGUAAGGAAAUGUCAACAGCAAUUCUGGAUAUGGUUGAGGUAUUUACCAACCAGAUACAGAGUUUUCCAGAGCACAUGGCAAAUGUGGAACUGAAGAAAUCACUGGAUGAAAUACAAAGUAUACUCGAAAGCUUCAAUGAUAGACUAGAUCAAGCAGAAAAAAAACUCUCAAAACUUAAAAUCUGAAGGCUUUUACUCAAUUCAAAUAUUUAAUGGGUUGUACUCUGGCCAUUCAGGUGAACAAAAUCUGCUGGGUUAAUUUUUUUUUUUUUUUUUUUUUUGAGAUGGAGUCUCGCUCUGUCGCCCAGGCUGGAGUGCAGUGGCGGGACCUCGGCUCACUGCAAGCUCCGCCUCCCAGGUUCACGCCAUUCUCCUGCCUCAGCCUCCUGAGUAGCUGGGACUACAGGUGCCCGCCACCACACCCGGCUUAUUUUUUGUAUUUUUAGUAGAGGUGGGGUUUCACUGUUAGCCAGGAUGGUCUCGAUCUCUUAACCUCGUAAUCCACCCGCCUCGGCCUCCCAAAGUGCUGGGAUUACAGGCGUGAGCCACUGCGCCUGGCCUUGGGUUGUUAUACUGGGGUCUUGAAUAAUCAUUAAAGGUGAAAUGAAAAUAAUUUCCUUUUGAGGUGGUCAAUUUUGUGAGAUGGAUUCUUGUUAGGCAGCUGUCAUGGAAAGAUGAUUUAGUUCAGUUGACAUUAAUAAUACGCAUGGUAAUCCUAACAGGUGAAUGUGGUUCAAACUAAAUUGCCAGGGAAUUGUCAUGGUCUAGAAAAGCCACUCUCUCCAGUAGACUGCUCACACAGCUACAUGUCAGCCCUCCUCACUGUGAAAGUGACAGACACCCUAGCAUUUUUAUUCAUCUCCCUUAGGUGCCUCAACUUUUUCUCCCACUCUCAGCUGAAAAGAGCUACAUCUACCAUUUCAUCUACUUAGUGUAUUUUCUUAUUGGCUAUGUUAAAAAAUUACAAACAUAACAAUUAUGAAUGAAAAAUAACUCCAUGGCUGGGUGCAGUGGCUCACACCUGUAAUCCCAGCACUUUGGGAGGCUGAGGCGGGUAGACCACAAGGUCAGGAGUUCAAGACCAGCCUGGCCAAGAUGGUGAAACCGUCUCUACUAAAAAUACAAAAAUUAGCCGGGUGCAGUGGCAGGCACCUGUAAUCCCAGCUGCUUGGGAGGCUGAGGGAGGAGAAUCAGUUGAACCCGGAGGGUGGAGAUUGCAGUGAGACUCUCAAAAAAACAAAACAACACAAAAAAAUCUCCUAAGAUGAUUAAAACAAACUUGCUUCUACAAUAAACCGUAAACUCACCGUAUCUAGUGAUUCUGUACAUUAAAUCUUUUGAACAUGUUUACCAAUUUGGUGUUAUGAAAAAUUUUUUAGAGGUUGUGUAUGGGCUGGGCACAAUGACUCAUGCCUGUAAUCCCACCACUUUGGGAGGCUGAGACGGGCGGAUCACUCAAGGACAGGAGUUCGAGAUCAGCUGGGGCAACAUGGCAAAACCCCAUCUCUACAAAAAGUACAAAAAUUAGCCAGGCGUGCACUAAUUAGUGGGCUGGACCAUUACUGGUGUGUGUAUCUCUAGUCUCAACUACUCAGAGGCUGAGCUGGCGAGAUCAGUGGAGCCCAGGAGAUUGAGGCUGCUGUGAGCUGUGGUCAUGCCACUGCACUCCAGCCGGGAUGACAGAGUGACACCGUGUCUCAAAAAAACAAAAAACAAAAAAUUGUGUCUGUACUCCACUUUCCAACUGGAUAUAGUGUCCAUAUCAAGGUCAUCUAAAUAAAUAUAAUGUUUUGGAGAGAGUUGUUUUUUUUUUUUUUUUUUUUGUGACGGAGUCUCGCUAUGUUGCCGAGGCUGGAGAGCAGUGGCGCGAUCUUGGCUCACUGCAACCUCUGCCUCCUGGGUUCAAGUGAUUCUCCUCCCUCAGCUUCCUGAGUAGCUGGGAUUACAGGUACCCGCCACCAGGCCCAGCUAAUUUUUUGUGUUUUUAGUAGAGUCGGGGUUUCACCAUGUUGGACAGGCUGGUCUCGAACUCCUGACCUUGUGAUUUACCUGCCUUGGCCUCCCAAAGUGCUGGGAUUACAGGUGUGAGCCACUCCACUCGGCACUUUUUUCUUUUUUUUGAGAUGGAGUUUUGCUCUUGUUGCCCAGGCUGGAGUGCAAUGGCACAAUCUCGGCUUACUGCAACCUCCGCCUCCCAGGUUCAAGCGAUUCUCCUGCCUCAGCUUCCCAGGUAGCUGGGAUUACAGGCACGUGCUACCACGCCCAGCUAAUUUUUGUAUUUUUAGUAGAGACGGGGUUUCACCAUGUUGGACAGGCUGGUCUUGAACUCCUGACCUCAGGAUUUCCACCCGUCUCAGACUCCCAAAGUGUUGGGAUUACAGGCGUAAGCCACUGCACCCGGCCUCCAGGCUCAAGCAAUUCUUAUGCCUCAGCCACAUGAGUAGCUGGUAUUACAGGUGUGUGCCAACAUGCCUGGCGAAUUUUUGUAUUUUUAGUAGAGAUGGGGUUUCGCCAUGUUGGCCAGGCUGUUCUUGAACUCCUGGCUUCCAUCAGUUCUCCCAUCUUAGCCUCCCAAAGUGUUGGGAUUACAGGUGUGACCCACUGCAACUGGCCAGGCACUUCAAUUUUUUUUUUUUUGCUCUGUCACCAGGCUGGAGUGCAGUGGUGCGAUCUCGGCUCACUGCAGUCUCCGCCUCGCGGGUUCAGGCAAUUCUGCCUCACCCUUCUGAGUAGCUGGGACUACAGGCAUGCCCCACCAUGCCCAGCUAAUUUUUGUAUUUUUAGUAGAGACGGGGUUUCACCAUGUUGGCCAGGAUGGUCUCGAUCUCUGGACCUUGUGAUCCGCCUGCCUCGGCCUCCCAAAGUGCUGGGAUUACAGGCGUGAGCCACCACGCCCAGCCAGGCACUUCAAAUUUUUUGUCUCUGUGUGUCUGCGAAUAACUGAGAAAGUGCCACAGUAUUGAUUUGGGGGUUACAAACAUAUUUUAGUGAGUAGGCAAAUUCUCAAAUACAAAAUCUAUGAAUAAGGAUCAAGUAUACGUUCAUUUGGCAUUUUAAGUACCCCAGGUUCCCUCAUUAUCUGAGGGAGGGCAGCAUAUGAAACUUAUUUAGACUUCUUCUUAAACAUUUAAUGUAAUUUAAUUUAUUUGAGACAGGAUGUCUGUUGCCCAGGCUGGAGUAUAGUGGCGCGAUCUCGGCUCAGUGCAAUCUCUGCCUCCCAGGCUCAAGCAAUUCUUAUGCCUCAGCCACCUGAGUAGCUGGUAUUACAGGCGUGUGCCAACACACCCUGUGAAUUUUUGUAUUUUUAGUAGAGAUGGGAUUUUGCCAUGUUGGCCAGGCUGGUCUUGAACUCCUGGCCUCAAGUGAUCCGCCUGCCUUAGCAUCCCAAAGUGCUGGGAUUACAAGUGUGAGCCACCGCUCCUGGGCUAGAACUCUUUUUUUUUUGAGAUGGAGUCUUGCUCUGUUGCCCAAGCUGGAGUACAGUGGCGCAAUCUUGGCUCACUGCAACCUCUGUCUCCCGGGCUCAAACAAUUCUUAUGCCUCAGCCUCCCAAGUAGCUGGGAUUACAGGCACGCGGCACCACACCCAGCUGAUUUUUCUAUUUUUAGUAGAGAUGGGGUUUCACCACGUUGGUCAGGAUGGUCUCGAUCUCCUGACCUCAUGAUCCGCCCACCUUGGCCUCCCAAAGUGCUGGGAUUACAAGUGUGAGCCACCACGCCCCGCCUAGAACUCUUAUAGAGAAUGAAGAAUGCGUUUUGAUUUUCUUUUUUGCAUAUCCAAGACAUUGCACUCAAGUUUCUGAAUCGGCCUAUUAGGUUGGUGCAAAAGUAAUAGUGGCUUUUGCCAUUAAAAAUUAAAAAUGGCAAAAACCACGAUUAGUUUUGCACCAACCUAACAUUUAGGAAAAUGGAGAGUUCCACGAAGGUGGGAAUUUCUGUCUUUUUCAUUUAUGCUGUCUAUGGUCAGCAGCUAGAACAGCAGUGCACACACAGCAGGUGCUCAGCCAGUCGGUAUUUGUUGGGUGAAUCAAGGAAUGAAAAUCACAUUCAAGCCAAUACACGUGAUUAAAC
rnacentral:lncRNA from 1 species